rnacentral:lncRNA from 1 species
CAGCCCAACCUUCUCUCUCUCAAAAUUUUUGCCCUCUAUCUCUCUUUGUAAAGAGAGCAGCCUCCAGCCCUUUGGCUCUCUCGUCUCCCUCGUUUGAGAAGUUACCGGCGAACUCCGGCCAGCCACCCCCGUCCUAGGCUGUCUGAUCUCGCUGCCCUACUCUCAUCUCUCUCACCUCUCUUUCCGUUGCGACGAACUCAUCGGGAAUCGGUGAACCUGCAGAUGGCGUUUCAGGUCUAACGAGAUCUGGCCGGAAACGAUGUUAAAUCCGGCGACCUCGUUUGAAAUCGACACCAUGUUUAUCUCAUUUUGAUGCUGACUUGUUUGUUAUUGUUGUUGUGCUCGAUUUUCUGGCAGCCUGUAUUCCGAUGACCGUCCGAGGAAGUAACGCCGGAAAUAAUACCGGUGAAGACUCCUCUUGCUCUGCCGUUUUCAUUUUUUCCAGAUCUGGACGGAGACUCAGAUUUUGGCCCGAAUUGUGCCGUUUCUGGUGACCAUUGAGGCUUCUCUUACAUAUCUCGAUGCUGCCUCUGUUUGGAUCCUUGUUUACGCUGUUCUUUCGUCUGCUUUAAUUACUUUGUUACUGUUGUUACUACAUUAUUUUGACGCGGUUUGGUUAUAUUUCCAUUUUUUGCGUUCUUGAUGCUUCUGUCUUUGUUGUUGCAAUUGGGUUCCGUUUGGUUUGCUGUUGUUCUAAGGGACUUGUCCGGUUGUAAUUUCCAUGAGGCCGUAAAGCUCGUCGGAAAUUGUCUCCGGACGUUGAUGGUUUGCCACUGCCUCCGUCCAAAAAUAUUUUCAAAAAAUAAUCUUUCAAAAACAUUUUCAAAUAAAAUCAUUUCCAAAAUAAAUUAGUUUAUUGUUUACUUUAUACUUUACUAAUAAUUUCACUUUUCUUGUCUUGCGAGGUACUAGAACAUGGAGUUGUUUUCGGGGGACGUCACCCAAAGACGAAAAGACAAAUCUCCUUUCAAGCUCCCCGCUUCACACUUCCUAUUCUUGGAUGUAUCCAACACGUAAAGUAUAGUAAAGUAGUAGAUAAAUAAUAUGUUUGCUUGCUUGCUGUGAUGUUUAUCUAUUUGUCAAACACUUAGGGUGAGUUGCAUCCGGUAAUAAUCCUGUUAAAUUGUAACAUUGUACAUUAGAUAAUUCACAUAAUUUGUAUAAACACUUAGGUUGACAAAUAUGUAUAUUAAACUUGGCCAAUCAAUUAGAAUUAACAUACACAUAAUCAAUCAGGUUAGUUGUAUACUAAAAUAAAACAUGUCAUCCUCUUUUUCAUGAAAAAAUAAAAACAAAUCAUUUUAUCGUAUUUCCUUAAAGCUAUACUAGCAUGCCUUUCUGACCUCUCUAUAUGUAAUUUAUUAUUUAGUUAACACAUUUUGAGUAGACAUAAUUUGUAAAGACAUUAGAAUUGAAAUGUUGUGCUUUUCUUUGAGCGACUUGGGUCUUGUAGUCAUUUGGGCUUGACUUACAUAAUUUGUAUUUCAAGACCAUGACUCUGAGAGAUGGUUUUUAGCUACUCAUUGAAAGAUAAUAUACUUUUAGCGCGAAUAUCUCCUUGUGCCGAUGGUAUAAUUUUCUAUGUCAUAAAUAUUUUGAUACAUUUUUCCUAUACCAUACUCAUUCCAUUUAUCAAAUUGAUUCUUUUAGUUUAUCUAUGAUCUAUUAAGAUUGUUCAAAGAUUAUUCUUUUCCAUUCUUACCAACCA